GGCGCAGAUCUUCCGCACCAGCCUACCACAGAUACCAGAUCAGCUGUGGCAUAUCGACAGGAUACACAGGGCACUGCGAGCUAAGGGACCGCAAAACAGCCCUCCCAGAGAUGUCAUCAUAAGGUGGCACUUUUUUUCCACGAAAGAAGCAAUUCUCAAGCAAAGCAGGCUCCAGCCAUACAUGUAUAAAGGAAAGACGCUACAGAUCUACCAAGACAUCGCUCCAACUACCCUCGCAAGAAGACGAGAAUGGAAACCCAUUGCUGACCUCCUCAGAGCCAAAGGCCUGCGCUUCGCAUGGGGCUUCCCCUUUAAGAUGCUCAUCUUUAAUGGCCCAAGACCGACAGUGCUGACACCAUCCAUGGACCCCAGAGGCGUCCUCCAAGAACUGGGCAUCGAGGUACCGGGAG